rnacentral:rRNA from 1 species
GAUGAACGCUGGCGGCAUGCUUAACACAUGCCAGUCGAACGGGAAGUGGUGUUUCCAGUGGCGAACGGGUGAGUAACGCGUAAGAACCUGCCCUUGGGAGGGGAACAACAACUGGAAACGGUUGCUAAUACCCCGUAGGCUGAGGAGCAAAAGGAGAAAUCCGCCCAAGGAGGGGCUCGCGUCUGAUUAGCUAGUUGGUGAGGUAAUAGCUUACCAAGGCGAUGAUCAGUAGCUGGUCCGAGAGGAUGAUCAGCCACACUGGGACUGAGACACGGCCCAGACUCCUACGGGAGGCAGCAGUGGAGAAUUUUCCGCAAUGGGCGAAAGCCUGACGGAGCAAUGCCGCGUGGAGGUGGAAGGCCUACGGGUCGUCAACUUCUUUUCUCGGAGAAGAAACAAUGACGGUAUCUGAGGAAUAAGCAUCGGCUAACUCUGUG